rnacentral:rRNA from 1 species
AUGCUUCUCCGCAACAUCAACCAAAGCGCAGGGCUAUGUAACGGUACUAGAAUGACAAUCACAAAACUUGGAAAAAGAGUCAUCGAAGCGCAGAUCAUAACUGGAGCACACGCCGGUAGUAAGGUAUGCAUCCCUUGGAUGACCACGGUGACAUUCGAGCCUAAAUGGCCAUUUGUACUACAAAGAAAGCAAUAUCCUCUGUCCGUGUGCUUCGCAAUGACAAUCAACAAGAGCCAGGGACAAUCUUUGAACAAGGUCGGCCUCUACUUGCCCAGGCAAGUUUUCACUCAUGGGCAACUCUAUGUGGCGGUCUCCAGAGUAACAAACAGGCAUGGCCUGAAGAUCCUUAUCGCCGACGACGAAGAAGAACAUGCAAGCAAAGGAAUGGCGAAGAACAUAGUGUACAAGGAGAUCUUCUGA